GGGGAAUAUUGGACAAUGGGGGCAACCCUGAUCCAGCGAUGCCGCGUGAGUGAUGAAGGCCUUCGGGUUGUAAAGCUCUUUUGUUGGGGACGAUGAUGACGGUACCCGACGAAUAAGCCCCGGCUAACUUCGUGCCAGCAGCCGCGGUAAUACGAAGGGGGCUAGCGUUGUUCGGAAUGACUGGGCGUAAAGGGCGCGUAGGCGGUUUGAUAAGUUUGGUGUGAAAGUCCUGGGCUUAACCUGGGGAUUGCAUUGGAUACUGUUGAGCUAGAGUCCGAGAGAGGGAAAUGGAAUUGCGAGUGUAGAGGUGAAAUUCGUAGAUAUUCGCAAGAACACCGGUGGCGAAGGCGGUUUUCUGGCUCGGUACUGACGCUAAGGCGCGAAAGCGUGGGGAGCAAAC
rnacentral:rRNA from 1 species